AAUCAUGGCUCAGGAUGAACGCUAGCGACAGGCUUAACACAUGCAAGUCGAGGGGCAGCGAGGGAGUGGCAACACUUCUGUCGGCGACCGGCGCACGGGUGAGUAACGCGUAUGCAACCUGCCCUUCACAGGGGGGAUAACCGGGAGAAAUUCCGACUAAUACCGCAUACGUCCUUUGGGGGCAUCCCCUGGGGAUGAAAGAGUUAUCGGUGAAGUAUGGGCAUGCGUGAUAUUAGGUAGUUGGCGGGG
rnacentral:rRNA from 1 species